rnacentral:tRNA from 1 species
GUGUCUGUAGUGUAGCGGUUAUUACGUCCGCUUUAUAAGCGAAAGGUCUCAUGUUCGAUUUCUGGCAGACACA